rnacentral:rRNA from 1 species
GAUGAACGCUGGCGGCGUGCCUAAUACAUGCAAGUCGAGCGAACGGACGAGAAGCUUGCUUCUCUGAUGUUAGCGGCGGACGGGUGAGUAACACGUGGAUAACCCACCUAUAAGACUGGGAUAACUUCGGGAAACCGGAGCUAAUACCGGAUAAUAUUUUGAACCGCAUGGUUCAAAAGUGAAAGACGGUCUUGCUGUCACUUAUAGAUGGAUCCGCGCUGCAUUAGCUAGUUGGUAAGGUAACGGCUUACCAAGGCAACGAUGAAUAGCCGACCUGAGAGGGUGAUCGGCCACACUGGAACUGAGACACGGUCCAGACUCCUACGGGAGGCAGCAGUAGGGAAUCUUCCGCAAUGGGCGAAAGCCUGACGGAGCAACGCCGCGUGAGUGAUGAAGGUCUUCGGAUCGUAAAACUCUGUUAUUAGGGAAGAACAUAUGUGUAAGUAACUGUGCACAUCUUGACGGUACCUUAUCAGAAAGCCACGGCUAACUACGUG